rnacentral:rRNA from 1 species
AAUAGAUACCCGGGUAGUCCACGCCGUAAACGAUGAGUGCUAAGUGUUGGGGGGUUUCCGCCCCUCAGUGCUGCAGCUAACGCAUUAAGCACUCCGCCUGGGGAGUACGGUCGCAAGACUGAAACUCAAAGGAAUUGACGGGGGCCCGCACAAGCGGUGGAGCAUGUGGUUUAAUUCGAAGCAACGCGAAGAACCUUACCAGGUCUUGACAUCCCGGUGACCACUAUGGAGACAUAGUUUCCCCUUCGGGGGCAACGGUGACAGGUGGCGCAUGGUUGUCGUCAGCUCGUGUCGUGAGAUGUUGGGUUAAGUCCCGCAACGAGCGCAACCCUUAUUCUUAGUUGCCAUCAUUUAGUUGGGCACUCUAAGGAGACUGCCGGUGAUAAACCGGAGGAAGGUGGGGAUGACGUCAAAUCAUCAUGCCCCUUAUGACCUGGGCUACACACGUGCUACAAUGGACGGUACAAACGGUUGCCAACCCGCGAGGGGAGCUAAUCCGAUAAAACCGUUCUCAGUUCGGAUUGUAGGCUGCAACUCGCCUACA